rnacentral:rRNA from 1 species
UGCAAGUCGAACGAUGACGGUGGUGCUUGCACCGCCUGAUUAGUGGCGAACGGGUGAGUAACACGUGAGUAACCUGCCCUCCACUUCGGGAUAACCUCGGGAAAUCGUGGCUAAUACCGGAUAUGAGCACUCAUCGCAUGGUGGGUGUUGGAAAGAUUUAUCGGUGGGGGAUGGACUCGCGGCCUAUCAGUUUGUUGGUGAGGUGAUGGCUCACCAAGACGAUGACGGGUAGCCGGCCUGAGAGGGCGACCGGCCACACUGGGACUGAGACACGGCCCAGACUCCUACGGGAGGCAGCAGUGGGGAAUAUUGCACAAUGGGCGAAAGCCUGAUGCAGCGACGCCGCGUGGGGGAUGACGGCCUUCGGGUUGUAAACCCCUUUCAGUAGGGAAGAAGCGAGAGUGACGGUACCUGCAGAAGAAGCGCCGGCUAACUACGUGCCAGCAGCCGCGGUAAUACGUAGGGCGCAAGCGUUGUCCGGAAUUAUUGGGCGUAAAGAGCUUGUAGGUGGCUUGUCGCGUCUGCCGUGAAAACCCGAGGCUCAACCUCGGGCGUGCGGUGGGUACGGGCAGGCUAGAGUGUGGUAGGGGAGACUGGAACUCCUGGUGUAGCGGUGAAAUGCGCAGAUAUCAGGAAGAACACCGAUGGCGAAGGCAGGUCUCUGGGCCAUUACUGACACUGAGAAGCGAAAGCAUGGGUAGCGAACAGGAUUAGAUACCCUGGUAGUCCAUGCCGUAAACGUUGGGCACUAGGUGUGGGGGACAUUCCACGUUUUCCGCGCCGUA